AUAACAUUCGGACCAUCGGUCUACCGAGCAAUACUACCCGCUCUUCUGGAAGAUCUUCUUCCCGUCGU
rnacentral:pre_miRNA from 1 species